rnacentral:tRNA from 1 species
UGGCUCAGACGGUAAAGCAUCUGCCUACAAUGCAGGAGACCCAGGUUUGAUCCCUGG